GUUGGGAGGAGGGCGUUCUCGAUAACCGAGACCCAUCGCGAAAAUUCCUCUUCGCUGCUCCUUCCUUCUUCGUCUUCAAGAAAAAUUACUACACACGAAGUGGGAAAACAAAAGAGAUAAAGAAAAUCGUUUACCGAUUGGUGCAGCUGAGCGAGUGAGGGGGCGCUUUUCUGCGUCUUUUUCUACUGUGCAUCCUCUGCCCUGAUCGAAUUAGUUUAUAAUAUUUACUAGUUAGUUGUAUAACACAGAAGAAGAAGCAAAAAAAAAAAAAAAAGAAAGGAGAGAAAGAUGAAGAGCAAUUCGACAGAGAUGAAAUUCGUGCAAGACCUGAUACUGUACGCUGCCAGCGCCGCUCUGAGUUGCUUGGUCUUAUUCACGGGCUCCGACUUCUCGACCCGAACCGGGAGGCCUCCAAGAAAGCCCUCGAACACAAGAAGGAAAUCUCCAAGCGCUUGGGCCGCCCUCUUAUUCAAACAAAUCCCUACGAGGUCCUUUUUUUUUUUUUUAC
rnacentral:lncRNA from 1 species